UAGUACACUGGGCAACGAUUGGCCCAUUUGUAGAUGAUUUAACUUGUAGCUAUAUAGUUAAUUAUUAAAUUACGGCUAGGUACCGCAAGUUGACCAAUUAGCUAAAAUUCACUGCGUAAAUCACGUCUAGGAAUUUCACUUAUUUGCCCUAAAAUAGAGUAAGUAACAAAGAGCUACCUAGAUGCUAUCUUUUCUGACAAAUGUGAUAUCCUGAUACAAAUGCGAAUAUUGUUUUGUAGUGUAUAGUAUUAGUCGUGCAACAACCGUGGCCGCGAGCGGGCGCGUCCAGGGCUGAGCAUAUACUAGAUUCACUCCAGUCUAAAAGUUUGUUUUAUUUGCUAUCCAGUCAGUACAAGUGGCGACGAGGAUAAAACUAUUUAUCCCAUAUGGUGGUGGUGUCAGCUUUCCUCUUUUGUCUUCUCCACUUCGCUCUAUCUACGACAUCGGUCUCGGAUACCUGGCACUCCUUCAUGUCUUUCGACACCUCAUCUUACACGUGGUCUUAGGGCGGCUUCGUGAUCUUCGACCGAAUCACCGACAAAGAAAAAACCGAUUGAAUGGAAAUUACAAUAAUUACCCGCAUAAUUAUUACAAUUCCGUAUUUUUCAAUAAGUAUGUGUAUUUAUAAUUAGUAAUAAAUUCAGAAAGUAAUAACAAUUCAGUUUACGAGGUAAAAAACUAUGUGUAUUAAGGUUAAAUACUUAUUAUUUUGCUACAUCAUUAACAAAA